rnacentral:lncRNA from 1 species
GAGGACCAGGAGGAAGCUCUGCUCAGAAAAAGGAUAGAAAGGCAGCAUGGAAACCCUGCUUCAAGGAAACACGAGAUUCACUAUGCUCUUGGCGAACCUCCCGCGAAAAGAGACUUCUAGGGAGGAAGGAUCCCCAGAGAGGCUCCCUGACCACUGCAAGCACUUCUCAAAGGGCUUGAAGGAGCUCAACGAAAAAACCCCAUUGCUGCCCAAGACUUCUGAGAGCCAAACUGGUAGAUUUGUGCAACCUGCAGUGGGAGGAAGGAUCCCCAGAGAGGCUCCCUGACCACUGCAAGCACUUCUCAAAGGGCUUGAAGGAGCUCAACGAAAAAACCCCAUUGCUGCCCAAGACUUCUGAGAGCCAAACUGGUAGAUUUGUGCAACCUGCAGUGAAAUUGUCCACACCGAUACGCAAAGGUUAAACUCUGUGCCUUUAUAAGCAGGCAGAAAGGAUUCCAGUUUCCUUAGGUGUUCGCUGAUUGGGAUCCGGAAGACCACAGCAAAUGGAUUCGCUUCCUCCUUUGUGCUUUCUCC